ensembl:snRNA U6 U6 spliceosomal RNA
UCACUUCAGCAGUGCAUAUACUAAAAUUGAAAUGAGACGGCCUGGCCUCUGUGCAAGGAUGACACACACAGUCGUGAAAUGCUCUGUACUUUU